GAAACUGCGAAUGGCUCAUUAAAUCAGUUAUCGUUUAUUUGAUAGUACCUUACUACAUGGAUAACCGUGGUAAUUCUAGAGCUAAUACAUGCUAAAAAUCCCGACUUCGGAAGGGAUGUAUUUAUUAGAUCAAAAACCAAUGC
rnacentral:rRNA from 1 species